rnacentral:lncRNA from 1 species
GGGGGCCUCUUGAUAGACAUCUCAGCUCCUGAUUGCUCAAGGGAGUUGAUGAGAAGCCUCUCCCCAUAAUGACAGCUGACAAUUCGUUAGUCAAAUUCCGUCCAGCCAAGAAAAGUCAGAUAGAAUAUCCUAAGUUCCUUUCUUCUUUCUUUCUUUCCUUCCUUCCUUCCUUCCUUCCUUCCUUUUUCUAUUCCCAUUUCCACAGAAACUCAGCUUUUAAAAUUAGGAAGUUGGCAAAACCUGACUUCAGCACCAUCCCACUCUCCCUCUCAAUUGCCAUGGUACUUUCUACUUUCUGAGUGAAUUCAUUAUGUUUCCUGGCUACCCUACGGCCUCAGAUGCAACUGCUCUCAUGGUUCCAUCCUGUCAGAUUGCUCCAUUCUCUACAUCUUCUCUUCAUCCUUCUGGCAUCCAUUAGUGGUCUAUAGCAUUAAUUCAAUUUGAUUCAAUACACAGUCAUAAAAAACCUACGCAGGGGUCCUCAAACUUUUU